rnacentral:rRNA from 1 species
AUUGAACGCUGGCGGCAUGCCUUACACAUGCAAGUCGAACGGCAGCAUGAUCUAGCUUGCUAGAUUGAUGGCGAGUGGCGAACGGGUGAGUAAUACAUCGGAACGUGCCCUGUAGUGGGGGAUAACUAGUCGAAAGAUUAGCUAACACCGCAUACGACCUGAGGGUGAAAGUGGGGGACCGCAAGGCCUCAUGCUAUAGGAGCGGCCGAUGUCUGAUUAGCUAGUUGGUGAGGUAAAGGCUCACCAAGGCGACGAUCAGUAGCUGGUCUGAGAGGACGAUCAGCCACACUGGGACUGAGACACGGCCCAGACUCCUACGGGAGGCAGCAGUGGGGAAUUUUGGACAAUGGGCGAAAGCCUGAUCCAGCAAUGCCGCGUGUGAAGAAGGCCUUCGGGUUGUAAAGCACUUUUGUCCGGAAAGAAAUGGCUCUGGUUAAUACCUGGGGUCGAUGACGGUACCGGAAGAAUAAGGACCGGCUAACUACGUG